UACGUAGGGGGCAAGCGUUGUUCGGAAUUACUGGGCGUAAAGGGCGCGUAGGCGGCCACCGCAAGUCGACUGUGAAAUCUCCGGGCUUAACCCGGAAAGGUCAGCCGAUACUGCGGGGCUAGAGUGCAGAAGGGGCAACUGGAAUUCUCGGUGUAGCGGUGAAAUGCGUAGAUAUCGAGAGGAACACCUGCGGCGAAGGCGGGUUGCUGGGCUGACACUGACGCUGAAGCGCGAAAGCUAGGGGAGCGAACGGG
rnacentral:rRNA from 1 species